AGGGUUUGAUUCUGGCUCAGGAAGAACGCUAGCGGCAGGCCUUAUACAUGCAAGUCGAGGGGCAGCAUUUACUUCGGUAAAUGGCGACCGGCGCACGGGUGAGUAACGCGUAUGCAACCUACCUUUAACUGGGGCAUAGCUCGAGGAAACUCGAAUUAAUUCCCCAUAGUACAUUAUAAUAUCUCAUGAUAUAAAUGUUAAAGAUUUAUCGGUUAAAGAUGGGCAUGCGUCUGAUUAGUUUGUUGGUAAGGUAACGGCUUACCAAGACUACGAUCAGUAGGGGGUCUGAGAGGAUGAUCCCCCACACUGGUACUGAGACACGGACCAGACAUCUACGGAUGGCAGCAGUAAGGAAUAUUGGGCAAUGGGCGCAAGCCUGACCCAGCCAUGCCGCGUGCAGGAUGACGACCCUAUGGGUUGUAAACUGCUUUUAUAUAGGAAGAAAAUACUCUUGCGAGAGGAUCUGACGGUACUAUAUGAAUAAGGACCGGCUAACUCCGUGCCAGCCGCCGCGGUAAUAC
rnacentral:rRNA from 1 species